GAUGAACGCUAGCGGCAGGCCUAAUACAUGCCAGUCGAACGGGAUCCAGAUCAAAGCUUGCUUUGGUCUGGUGAGAGUGGCGCACGGGUGCGUAACGCGUGAGCAACCUACCCUUGUCAGGGGGAUAGCCCGGCGAAAGUCGGAUUAAUACCGCAUGACAUCAUUGAGAGGCAUCUUUCGAUGAUCAAAGAUUUAUCGGACAAGGAUGGGCUCGCGUGACAUUAGCUAGUUGGUAAGGUAACGGCUUACCAAGGCUGCGAUGUCUAGGGGCUCUGAGAGGAGAACCCCCUACACUGGGACUGAGACACGAACCAGACUACUACGAGAGACAGCAGUAAGGAAUAUUGGUCAAUGGACGGAAGUCUGAACCAGCCAUGCCGCGUGCAGGAAGACGGCCCUAUGGGUUGUAAACUGCUUUGAUACGGGAACAAACGUCGGUACGUGUACCGGUCUGAGUGUACGGAAGAAUAAGGAUCGGCUAACUCCGUG
rnacentral:rRNA from 1 species